rnacentral:rRNA from 1 species
GAUGAACGCUGACAGAAUGCUUAACACAUGCAAGUCAACUUUGGCGGACGGGUGAGUAACGCGUACAGAACUUGCCUCACGGAUAGGGCCACCCUUUGGAAACGAAUGCUAAUACCUGAUACUGUGAGAGAGCUUUGCGUCCCAUUAGCUAGUUGGAGAGGUAACGGCGGACCAAGGCGAUGAUGGGUAGCCGGCCUGAGAGGGUGAUCGGCCACAAGGGGACUGAGAAACGGCGCUUAAUCCUCCGGGAGGCAGCAGCGGGGAAGAUUGGACAACGGACCAAAGUCUGAGCCAGCAAUUCUGUGUGUAGGAUGAAGUUUUCGGAAUGUAAAGUGCUUUCAGUUGGGAAGCGGUACCAACAGAAGAAGUGACGGCUAAAUCCGUGCCAGCAGCCGCGGUAAUAC